rnacentral:rRNA from 1 species
UACGGGGGGAGCAAGCGUUGUUCGGAUUUACUGGGCGUAAAGGGCGCGUAGGCGGUCAGCACAAGUCAAUUGUGAAAUCUUCGAGCUUAACUCGGAAACUGCCGUUGAUACUAUCUGUCUUGAAUACCGUGGAGAUGAGCGGAAUAUGUCAUGUAGCGGUGAAAUGCUUAGAUAUGACAUAGAACACCAAUUGCGAAGGCAGCUCGUUACACGAAUAUUGACUCUGAGGCUCGAAAGCGUGGGGAUCAAACAGG